GCACUGCUGAAGAGUUCUGCACUAGGACGAAACGGCCGUCCAGUGC
rfam:Schistosoma margrebowiei strain Zambia genome assembly, scaffold: SMRZ_contig0001047